UGUCACCACCAUGGCGGCCAAGACAGUUGUAUCGCAGUCAAACAAAAGGAAAAGUAAACAUCCUAGUGGUGGAUACGGUACCCAGUGUAGAUCCUACGGGUGUUUUAAUUAUUCGGGCACUGCUGAGGGAUUAAAAUUCUUCAGUUUUCCUAAAGAAAAAGAGAGGUGUGAUAGAUGGAUUCAGAAUAUAAGAAGACGGGAUAUGAUGGGUAUGAAACCAGAAAAUCUGAAACAUUCCAGAUUGUGUUCAGAUCAUUUUGAGAACAGUCAAUUUAUGAACCCUACAGAUAGAACUAGCAGAUUGAAGCCCAAUGCUGUUCCUACUAUCAUUGAUGCCCCAAACGCACCAAAACGUCUGAAAUCAUGUAGGAGAGAGAUUGUAAGAAGAGUGAUUCAGAUUGAUGAAGAAGUUGAAACUGCUAUAAAGAUAAAGAAGGAGGAUAUAUCAACAGAAUCCGGAACAAUGACAGAUAUAUCCAAACAGGAUAUAGAUGACCUAAAAGCAACUAUUCAUAAAUUAUAAGCUGAAAAUCACAUAUUGAGAAAAAGAUGUACAGAUAUAUCCAAACAGGAUAUAGAUGACCUAAAAGCAACUAUUCAUAAAUUAAAAGCUGAGAAUCACAGAUUGAGAAAAAGAUGUACAGAUAAAAGAACUAUGUCAAAAAUUAUUUUAUUAGAUACACUGAGCAAAUAUUUAUCGCCGCCUGCUUAUAAUUUUGUCAAACAACAAAUAGAAGUUGCCAAAAAGAAGAACCGAGGAAUCAGAUGGUCUGAUGAAAUCAAGUCAUUUGCUUUACAGAUGAAGGGAAUUAGUACUAAAGGAUACAAAUUUCUUAAGAAAAUUUUCAGGCUUCCAGCCAUAAGAACUCUGAAUGAAAUGGUGGGUUCAUUUAAUAUUGAAGAAGGUUUUCAUCAAGCUGUUAUCAAAACCUUACAAGAAAUGACUACUAGUACUACCAUGUCUCCCAAGGAAAAAUUAGUUGUUUUGUCAUGAUGAAAUAGCCCAACUUUAAGGAAACUUUGGCAUACAAUAGAUCGUCUCUUUGAUUGUUUUAAUAGUAGCAGUUUGUCGUCAACCAAACCUUUGAAAUGUGCAUUAAGAGAUGGAACAGCUCAUAUGACUAGAAGAAUCAAUCAAGACUGUCUUGAGCACUUUUUUGGAUCAAUACGAGGAAAAGGAGGAUAUAGAGACAAUCCAGACUCCUACCAAUUCCAUCAUGCCUACAGGCAAUCACUAGUUGAACAUCUGAUGAUUGGUGGCAACACCAAUUGUGAAUUUGACAAAAGUCGCCUUUUUAUUAAAUUGAGCAAACUUUGCAAGUUCAAGUCAACCACAGCUGUUAUUGAAACAGAAAAACCUAAGUGCCCAGUAAACUCCUCUGCUCAAGCUACUGUACUUUCUGAUGUGUCCAUAGUUGAACUGGAUAUAUCUGACAUAUUGAUAGAUCCUCUUUUAGAACUGCCAGAAGAAAAUAUUGUUGCUUACAUAUCUGGAUAUCUUGUUCAUAGAGUUUAUAAUAAGUUUAAUUGUGAUACCUGUUUGAAGUUAUGGACUGCCUCUGAAAGUGAAGCUCAUGGUGACAUUUAUUCUUUUAUUGAUCAAUUGGAUGGCUGAAUGGUUAGCGUGCGCGCGCUGUAUCAUAAAGCCUGUCAUUGAGUCAACUGGCGUGGUAUCGAAUCCCCGGUUGUACGUGGCAAGGAAUAGGGUCGCCUGUCCAACCAAUUGGGUUUUCUCCGGGUCCUCCGGUUUCAUCCCACUGCUAAAGACCCCUACGUGCAAGCGAAUUAUUAAAAUAAAAUGAAACCAUGUGUUAGUCCCGAAAUGACCUAGUUUGUGUUGAGUGAACUUAAACCCCAUUUCUCUCUCUCUCUUUAUUGAUCAAAAGCAAUAUGAUAAAAACAAUAAGAAAGGUUUUGUUAAACCCAGUCAUUUAAUUUAUGCUGUUACAAUGAAAUUAGAAUCAAUAUUUAGAGAUUCUUUUGACGGUAUUAAUAAAUCCGAAAAUGUAUGUAAACAACUUAUUGAAAUAUUUAUGAAAAGUGUUACCAACAAUAUUGUUUUUUCAACUGGUUGUGCUAAAGUUCGUAGAUUUCUGCUGUGUCUAUUUGUUCGCAUGAGAAUACAUCAUUGUAUAAAAGAACUUAAUAGGUCUAGGAAAUGCAAGAAAAAUAAGAAAAAAAAAAAUUUGUGAAAGUGUCACAUUCCUAAUUUAUCAAGUUCUUUCUUAUUUUAUAAAAUAUUUAUUCAAUUAUUUGGACUAGUUAGACUGUAGAGUCUAUUCAUGUAUCUAGAUAUGUAUACACAUGCCAGUGAUCCAAAAUGUGCACCUUGCUAAGAUAUUUAUCUAUUGGUUUACUAGCCCCAAUCACUUGCAUAGAUACUUUUGUCACCUUAUAUAUGCUUACUUGGAAUGGAUUACAGAGUGAAACUCUUAUCACCUUCAAUAGUUACUUUAAACAUGCAUUAUGUAAGAGCUAUAUCUGCCUAUUGCAGGUAUGUGUUUAGGCCUUAAAUAGGGUCUAUUUACUUGCCAAGACCAUAAUCAACUCUCAAUGCCAUUGGACACUUGAGAUUUUAACUAGAUUAGAAUGGUUCGGCCAUUUAAUGUUUGAAUUUUGAUGAAACUUGAAAUGCAUGUUUAUAACCCACAGAUCUUGGUUCCUUUUGAUUUUUGUGCAUAUCGGAUCCUAACUUCCUGAAUUAUGUCCCCGGAUUGUACGAAAAAUCGCGUUUUAACUUGUGGUCCCUCUAGAGGUCACCAAAGAUCUGAGUUGCUUCGAUAUUGGCAUGUAUUGGACCAUAACUUCAUGGAUUAUGGCCCCUGAUUGUACAAAAACUAUCCUGUUUUUUAGCUUGUGGUCCUGCUAGAGACCACAAUUAUUAUCCGAUUUAAAUAACCGCUCAAAUAUAUAACCGUUAUGUCGUUUGAGUUCGAACUUCGUGAAAAUGGGACCAAAACUACCGGACGAAGUGGCUGCCCUUCGUAAAGGGGACCCUCUAGAGGUCACAAUUUUGAUCUGAUUUUGAUGAAACUUGAAAUUUAUGUCUAUAUCACAAAGAUCUUGGUUCUUUUUGAUAAUGGUGUAGAUGUUCAUGAGGUGAAUGUCUUUGCUGAAUUCAAUGAUUAAUAUUUUGUGCCAAGACUGAGCAAAGCUAAGCAAUUUCAUUGGUUGAUACUUUCGGACAUGAUAACUUUUAUUCUAAUUGAGGGAGAGUUAUGAAAUCGAUUGUAUAGUUUCGCUACAUCAAAACCAUGACUUAAGCUCCAUCACAAAUAUUUUCUACAUGAACUAAGCAUAGAUAAGCAGUUUGAUGAAAGACAAAUGUUCAAUUAAUUGAUAUGUGUCAUGUGUUUAUUUGAGGAUUUCAGAGGGGGGACAUAAGCCUCACUAUUGGCUUGUUUCAUUUGAGAAAGUUCUACACAGAGUUUUUUAUUUUCAUUUCAUCAUUUCAGUGGCAAUGUCUUAUGGGAAAUACAGGAUUUUAAGUCCCUGGCGUGGAUGGAAUAAGCCCGUAAACUUAAAAAAGUCACUGGAGUGGAUGGAAUAACCCCGUAAACUUUUUCCUGCUGCCAUCAGACAUUGUCACUGAAAAGAUAAUAUGAAAAGAAAAAAAACUUUGUGUAAGACUUUUUCAAAAAUGAAACAAGUCAACAGUUAGGCUUAUGUUCCUUGUUGAUAUUCUAAAAUAAAUAAAUGACACAUAUCAAUGAAUUGAAGUUUUGUCUUUUUAUUAAACUUCUUUUCUAUACUUAGUCCAAGCAGGAAAUAUAUCACCAUUCCACCAUAAUGAAGGUUGAAUUCAAAUUUCAGGAAAAUCGAAACUAAAUGGUGUAAAAGUAUGUAAUACAAAGGUUGUCAACCCUCUAGAGGUCACAAUUUUUAUCUUAUUUUGAUGAAACUUAAAAUAAAUGUUUAUGUCCUAAAGAUCUCAGUUUCUUUCGAUAUUUGCGCACUUUAGGCCAUAACUUUCUUGAUUAUGGCCACUGAUGGUACGAAAAAACCCUUUUGUUUUUAGCCUGUUCUCUAUCCAUCUUCCAAAUGUGACCGUAUCUUGCCUGGCAACUGCUGGUUAUUUUUAUAUGCAUUUUAGUUUUAAUGUUAAUAUUGUAUCUAGCUCUUAGUUAAAAUGGUUUUGUUGUUUUGUUACACUUUCUGUUUUGUUUUAACUAUUUCAAAUUAUCCCUUGUCUAUAGAAAUUAUACAGUUUGUUCAUUUGUGGGUCAUACCCUAGCUAACUGUUGCUACUGAUUGUACAUAUACAUAUUUCAUUUGAUUUUGUGAAUUUGUUAUAUAAGGGGGGGAUGGGAUGGCGCUUCGAGCUCUAGCUUGCUGGUCACCAAUGGCUCGCGGUCGUGGUUUCGAACCCUGGUGUGAGGGUGUGUGGCUUGGAGAUGGGGGCACCUUCUCAAUCUCAUGGGUUUACUCCGGGUUCCUCCCACAAAUAAAUAAUUGCUAUCCAUAAAGUUGCUGUCUUUUGUUUCCACAUUAAGCCAUCAUAAAGAACAGAUAUAUGUGUCCUUUCCUUAGAUCCCCCGUGUUAGUGUAUUGAAGAACAGAGGGUCAAUGUAUAGUCGUUUGGAUGGGACGAAAAGCCAUGGUCCAGUGUACACAUUGCGCGCAUGUAAAAUAAUUUGAUGUAAGGUUAGGCAUAGCGUCGCUGUCUGGACAAAAAUUCCCUCAUUGCAAACUGUAUGGCAUAUCCAUUACACUGUAUACAUCCCUUGGGAAAGUCCAAGAAAAAGGCUGAUAGAAUAAGACUUUUAAAGCCAACACAAAACUACCUUUUAAGGCGAAGCAACCACCAAGAGAUAUUACCAAGUGUUGACCUUCUGUUUAAUAAAAAAAACAAACAGUGCCACAUGUCAUUAACUUUCUAAGUUGGCUAAUCGACACGCCCCCAUCUGCAUCAAAAAGCACCAAAAUCAGCUUUGUGAUGAAAUAACUGGAUAAACCAACAUAGAAAGUAAUGAAAUUUGGCAUGCUCAUAUGUUAUGCAUUUGUCGUAAGGGCAGAUCCAGAAAUUUUUGCAGGUGGUUUGCCAGCUGGUUACUGAGACAAUGUAUAUUUUGGGGGUGGGGGCCCUGGGUUCUAUCACCCGGCAUUUAAAAUUUUUAAGAAAUACAGGGUGAUGUCCUAUAAUAUGACUAUAUAUUAGGAACCUAUAACAGUAAAUCUCUUUGGGGUAUAGUCUGUGCCCUGAAUAACUUACGGUCUGAAAGUCAGAUAUAUACAGGGGAAUUCAGGGUUAUUAUUCUGAAAGUUUUUCUUUAAAACCUGUAAUGUAUUCUUCCAGGGUAGGGUUGUCGUUUUUUUUCAUAAGACGAAAACAUGAUAUAAGGUUUUUCUUAAGAGAUAUUCUCAUUUUGCGUAAAUGUAAACAUUGAGGGUUUAUAAACAAGAUAAAGUCUU